CCGUGAGCGCUUGCACGUAACGAGAAUCUCCAUGGACGGCGGACUCUUGUUAGUGGAAACUGCAUCCAAUGUUCCAAUCUGGUAUCAGGUAUGUUUUCUUUUUUAUGGAGCCAAGAAGUUGAACUGCGUAUAUUUAACAGGUGUCGAAUUAACAUGAAAAAACGGUUAGACAGAUCACACACAACUGAAUUAUUAUACAAAACUAUGAGUGUGUUGUUUUACACAUUUAAUCGAACACAUUGUGGGCGUAAACAGUUUAAGAAAAUAAAAUCAUUUUUCUUUAUGAUUAAUAUCUAGUAGCGACACCUGAGGAUUUGGAACUCGGCAAAGUGUUCUCUGUUGACGAAAUCCAGUGAUUACCCAAAUCCUUGUUGAAAGAGCUGCUUAUUCCGAUGCUUUGGUGGAUGGGAAUUGGGGGAAAUGGAGGAGAAAUCGACUUGAGGAAUGGAGUAAUAUUUUGGGAAUCGGAGUUUAAAAGAAAAAUCU
rnacentral:lncRNA from 1 species